UGGCGGCGUGCCUAAUACAUGCAAGGUCGAACGGCUUUCUAUGGAAGCUUGCUUCCACUGAGAAGAUAGUGGCAACGGGUGAGUAACACGUGGGUAACCUGCCCAUAAGAGGGGGAUAACAUCCGGAAACGGGUGCUAAUACCGCAUAGUUUCUUGAUCGCAUGAUUGAGAAAGGAAAGACGGCCUUUGUAGCUGUCGCUUAUGGAUGGACCCGCGGCGUAUUAGUUAGUUGGUGAGGUAACGGCUCACCAAGACGAUGAUACGUAGCCGACCUGAGAGGGUGAUCGGCCACAUUGGGACUGAGACACGGCCCAAACUCCUACGGGAGGCAGCAGUAGGGAAUCUUCCGCAAUGGACGAAAGUCUGACGGAGCAACGCCGCGUGAGUGAAGAAAGGUUUUCGGAUCGUAAAACUCUGUUGUCAGAGAAGAACAAGUUGGAGAGUAACUGCUCCAGCCUUGACGGUAUCUGACCAGAAAGCCACGGCUAACUACGUGCCAGCCGCAGC
rnacentral:rRNA from 1 species